CCGUAACCCACUCAGAGGGGGAGUAACACUUGGAAACAGGUGCUAAUACCGCAUAACAGUUUAUGCCGCAUGGCAUAAGAGUGAAAGGCGCUUUCGGGUGUCGCUGAUGGAUGGACCCGCGGUGCAUUAGCUAGUUGGUGAGGUAACGGCUCACCAAGGCCACGAUGCAUAGCCGACCUGAGAGGGUGAUCGGCCACACUGGGACUGAGACACGGCCCAG
rnacentral:rRNA from 1 species